GUCGGGAUAGCUCAGUUGGUAGAGCAGAGGACUGAAAAUUCUCGUGUC
rnacentral:tRNA from 2 species